rnacentral:rRNA from 1 species
CACGUAGGCACCAAGCGUUGUCCGGAUUUAUUGGGCGUAAAGAGCUCGUAGGCGGUUCGGUAAGUCGGGUGUGAAAACUCUGGGCUCAACCCAGAGCCGCCACCCGAUACUGCUGUGACUUGAGUGCGGUAGGGGAGCGGGGAAUUCCUGGUGUAGCGGUGAAAUGCGCAGAUAUCAGGAGGAACACCAGUGGCGAAGGCGCCGCUCUGGGCCGUGACUGACGCUGAGGAGCGAAAGCGUGGGGAGCGAACAGG